rnacentral:rRNA from 1 species
UGGGGAAUUUUGGACAAUGGGCGAAAGCCUGAUCCAGCAAUGCCGCGUGUGUGAAGAAGGCCUUCGGGUUGUAAAGCACUUUUGUCCGGAAAGAAAUCCUUGGCUCUAAUACAGUCGGGGGAUGACGGUACCGGAAGAAUAAGCACCGGCUAACUACGUGCCAGCAGCCGCGGUAAUACGUAGGGUGCAAGCGUUAAUCGGAAUUACUGGGCGUAAAGCGUGCGCAGGCGGUUUGCUAAGACCGAUGUGAAAUCCCCGGGCUCAACCUGGGAACUGCAUUGGUGACUGGCAGGCUAGAGUAUGGCAGAGGGGGGUAGAAUUCCACGUGUAGCAGUGAAAUGCGUAGAGAUGUGGAGGAAUACCGAUGGCGAAGGCAGCCCCCUGGGCAAUACUGACGCUCAUGCACGAAAGCGUGGGGAGCAAACAGGAUUAGAUACCCUGGUAGUCCACGCCCUAAACGAUGUCAACUAGUUGUUGGGGAUUCAUUCCUUAGUAACGUAGCUAACGCGUGAAGUUGACCGCCUGGGGAGUACGGUCGCAAGAUUAAAACUCAAAUGAAUUGACGGGGUCAUAGCUG